CCUACGGGCGGCAGCAGUGGGGAAUAUUGCGCAAUGGGCGGAAGCCUGACGCAGCGACGCCGCGUGCGGGAUGAAGGUCUUCGGAUCGUAAACCUCUGUCAGCAGGGAAGAACGGUCACUGUGCUAAUCAGCAGUGAAUUGACGGUACCUGCAAAGGAAGCACCGGCUAACUCCGUGCCAGCAGCCGCGGUAAUACGGAGGGUGCGAGCGUUAAUCGGAAUUACUGGGCGUAAAGCGCUCGUAGGCGGUAUGUCAAGUCAAGGGUGAAAUCCCCGCGCUCAACGUGGGAACUGCCUUGGAAACUGGCAAACUGGAGUGUGAGAGAGGAUAGUGGAAUUCCAGGUGUAGGAGUGAAAUGCGUAGAUAUCUGGAGGAACAUCAGUGGCGAAGGCGACUAUCUGGCACAUAACUGACGCUGAGGAGCGAAAGCGUGGGUAGCAAACAGGAUUAGAUACCCUGGUAGUC
rnacentral:rRNA from 1 species